rnacentral:lncRNA from 1 species
AAUUCAUAGAGUCCCUCUCUCUCUCUAUCUCUCUCUCAUUUGUUAUUUUAUUUAUUUACAUUUGAAAUAUUGUCCCCCUUCCCAGUUUCCCCUCCACAAAGCCCCCAUCCCAGCCUCCCUCCUGUUUGCCUCUAAGAGGAUGCUUCUCUACCCACCCACUCUCACCUCACCCCUCUACCAUCCCCCUUUCCUGGGGCAUCAAGCCUCCACAGGACCAAGGGCCUGCCUUCCCACUGAUGCCAAAUAAAGUAAUCCUCUGCUACAUAUGCAGUUGGAACCAUGGAUCCUGCCAUGUAUGCUCAAAGAGCCACUCUUAAUUCUUUCCCAGGUGGAUAUGUUAGUUUCCUUUGCUGUGAUCAAACAUCUGCCCAAGGCAACUUAUAAAAGAGAGUUUAUUUCAUUUACAGUUGCAGAGGCAGAGGAGUCUGUCACAAUGGAGAAACAGAAGUCAUAGAGCCUGUAACAGGAUGCAAAGUGCUGACAUCUUGAACUACAAUGUUGCGGUACAGAGUAAAAACAGAGAAUGGCUCAAGUCUUAAAGAUCUCAAAGCCAGCCUCCAAUGGCACAUUUCCUCCAAUUAGGUCACAGUACCUCAGCAUUUCCAAAUGAAGCUACCAACUGGGCAGCAAGCAUUCAAAUGUCUAGGACUGUGCUGGUCAUUUCAUAUGAAGCACCAUAAAGCAAUGCUAAAAACCAUUUGGCAGUCUAAAAAUU